CGUUUCUCCGCCGGCGACCGGCGCACGGGUGAGUAACACGUAUGCAACCUGCCCCGUGUCAGGGGGACAACCCGCCGAAAGGCGGGCUAAACCCGCGUACAUGCCACCGGGGCAUCCCGGAGGCAGGAAAGGCUUCGGCCGGACAGGGAUGGGCAUGCGGCGCAUUAGGCAGUAGGCGGGGUAACGGCCCACCUAACCGACGAUGCGUAGGGGUUCUGAGAGGAAGGUCCCCCACACUGGUACUGAGACACGGACCAGACUCCUACGGAAGGCAGCAG
rnacentral:rRNA from 1 species